CUUUGAAGGAGACCAGAGUGUUAUUCAGCAAUGAGUGUAGCUUGUGGUUGAUGGAAGAGAGAGUAAGGGAGAAGAGGAGGAGGAAAGCAAGACAAAGAAGUAAAAGGAGGAAGAAUGAAGAAAUCCCUUCGUAUGGGUAUAAUAUACAAGAUGGCAGAAGUGAUAUCGUAGCAGCCCCCCAUUCGUCUUACUCUGUGAGAAGAAGCGUAUUUUGUUCAGAUUAUUAUAUUAGUAGCAAAGUUACAGGUCUAGCAGCUGUAAUCCCCUGACUGAAUGGUGUGUACAAAGGAGUGCAGAGGUUCAAUUUAUUUAAGAAUUUGAUAAAUAUUACUAUAAACAAUGUAGGAAGCAGAAAUGUAGUCAAUGGAAGUUUUUCACACUCAAAAAGUGAUCAAAUAAUCUUUUUGUUUUGAUAAGCAUGAUUUAUAUGUAUUAUUUACCUGUAGAAUUGCCUGUAUAUGUUUUUUACUGAUAGUAUUGGGAUAUGAUGAGUUCUUUAUCAAUGUAUCUUGAUUUAUGGGAAAAUUAAAUAAAGAAAGAAAGAAGGAAGGA